rnacentral:rRNA from 1 species
CCACGGGCGGCAGCAGUGGGGAAUAUUGGACAAUGGGGGCAACCCUGAUCCAGCCAUGCCGCGUGUGUGAAGAAGGCCCUCGGGUUGUAAAGCACUUUCAGUGAGGAAGAACGCCUGGUGGUUAAUACCCAUCAGGAAAGACAUCACUCACAGAAGAAGCACCGGCUAACUCCGUGCCAGCAGCCGCGGUAAUACGGAGGGUGCGAGCGUUAAUCGGAAUUACUGGGCGUAAAGCGCGCGUAGGUGGCUUGAUAAGCCGGUUGUGAAAGCCCCGGGCUCAACCUGGGAACGGCAUCCGGAACUGUCAAGCUAGAGUGCAGGAGAGGAAGGUAGAAUUCCCGGUGUAGCGGUGAAAUGCGUAGAGAUCGGGAGGAAUACCAGUGGCGAAGGCGGCCUUCUGGACUGACACUGACACUGAGGUGCGAAAGCGUGGGUAGCAAACAGGAUUAGAUACCCGGGUAGUC